rnacentral:rRNA from 1 species
GUGGGGAAUAUUGGACAAUGGGGGGAACCCUGAUCCAGCCAUGCCGCGUGUGUGAAGAAGGCCUUUUGGUUGUAAAGCACUUUAAGCGAGGAGGAGGCUACCGAGAUUAAUACUCUUGGAUAGUGGACGUUACUCGCAGAAUAAGCACCGGCUAACUCUGUGCCAGCAGCCGCGGUAAUACAGAGGGUGCAAGCGUUAAUCGGAUUUACUGGGCGUAAAGCGCGCGUAGGUGGCCAAUUAAGUCAAAUGUGAAAGCCCCGAGCUUAACUUGGGAAUUGCAUUCGAUACUGGUCGGCGAGAGUAUGGGAGAGGAUGGUAGAAUUCCAGGUGUAGCGGUGAAAUGCGUAGAGAUCUGGAGGAAUACCGAUGGCGAAGGCAGCCAUCUGGCCUAAUACUGACACUGAGGUGCGAAAGCAUGGGGAGCAAACAGGAUUAGAAACCCCAGUAGUCC